rnacentral:lncRNA from 1 species
AGCCUGCACCAGCAGAGCAGAGGCCAAGCUGUACCUGACAAAUGUGCUAUAGUCUCAGCACUGGAUCUAGGACAGGGGAAAAUGGCUGCUCCGUUUUCGAGAUCCGUCUGGGCAGCUGACUUUGCAGAUGGGAUCUACUGGUUGCAUUUCUAAGCUUGAGAGAUCAUCUUCUCUUUACCUUGAAGUGUCACCUAGCCCAGACUGUCUGAUCCUGUGUGUGACUGGCUUUAUGAAUAACAGGAGUUCUAGGGACACACAAGAUCCCUUUAGAAGCAAGAGGUGGGGAUAAUGCAAUGGAAAUGAUGCCUGGAUGACAGUGGUGGGACCAAUCUCCAACACUCGGCUGGAUACCUCUUCUACCAAAUCAGGUCUGGAAACAGACACUUGAGCAAGAGGUGUUGGAACCAGUGUUUAAAUUGUGAAAGAUCAUUGCUUCAAGAUGCUGGGACGGCUCUGACAACGAAGAAGGAAAGGAAACUUUGAAAAACAAGAUCUAUUUGAUACCUGAUCUUAAUUUUUUAAACCAUGAAUCAAAAUACUUGGAAAGGAGACUGUAGUUAAGAUGAAUACAGAAGAGGAAUGGUGGAAUUCUUUUCCCUAUGAGUUGGGACAUUAAUGUUGGAGGGAGAGAAUCAAAGUUGUUAUGACUCUUAGACAAAGAAAGAAGAAGCGAACUUGAAUCUCCUUGUCAACAGGCAUUUUAUGGCUCAAAUGAUAAAACACAGAGUGUUCAAACUCUUCUAGCCAAGUGUUCCAUACAGUGGAGUACCAAAGAAACACUCUUCUGAAGGCUCCUGUUACAUGAUAUUCCUUGUCAUUGUCAAUAGUAAAUCCGACAACAGGUCAGAAACAUUCAUGGUCCUCAUUAACAUUCCCCCUAGGUCUCAGUUUGCGUCUCUUUAUCUUUUUUCUAGCUCCGAAUGGAAGUUUCCUGGGAAACCUUUCCUGUGAAUGGAAUGUAUGAGGUUUGUCCCAUGACAGACAAAUAAAAAACACAAGAAACUACAACAGAAAACUUCUUCCCCUGAAAUAUUGCAGUCAGGAGCAGAUAACACCUAUCUUUUUUCAAGGACAUGUAGAGAUUCCAACCCUCUGGUGUUCAGUGACACUAAGAAUGUUAUUCCCUCAAUUUAACAGCAGAGCUUCUUUUCUUACUGAUAAAAAAAUUUAAAAAGGGUUUAAAUUACUUAAGUAAAAAGAACUAUGGUGGGGCCUUCUCAGUCAUAGAUAAGCAUCAGCUCUUGCUGAUCUGCUGUAUUGUCAGCAAAGUAAUGGCUCAGUUUGUGUAUUGUUCUCCUUGUGCCAAACAGAAGGGAGAGUAAACCUUAUCCACAGGCUCCUGUUACCAGCAGACACUGGCUUCCGUCAGAGGCGGGUUCUGGGGAAACAGUUUUCACAUUCACCAAUUAAAAGAAGGGAAAUAGCCAACAUUUGCACAACUUAUAGAUAUACCCCAUCCCAAUAAACCUUGAGUUUUUGUCUAUGCAUUGUUGUCUAAUUAAAAAAAAAAGAGCAAUGAGCGAGAGGGAGAAUACACAGGCUACUACUGAACUGUGUUGCUAACAGAAGAAAGUUGAGGGGUCGGGUGGGGACGGACAACCAGUGAUUAAAAUCAGGCUUUUAUUUGAAAUUCUGACUACUUUUCUGUAGCAGCUUCCAUGCUAACUUAUACAUUCUGUUCCUAAGCUGGGUGAAGCAUGUCUUUUUUUUUUUUUU